rnacentral:misc_RNA from 1 species
CUGAGUGAGGGUCCCUCGGGGCCCAACCUCCCACCCGUGUAUACCGUACCUUGUUGCUUCGGCGGGCCCGCCGCGCAAGCGGCCGCCGGGGGGGCGUCAAACCCCUCCCUAAGCGAGCGCCCGCCGGAGACACCAACGUGAACACUGUCUGAAGUUUUGUUGUCUGAGUUCGAUUGUAUCGCAAUCAGUUA